CAGUUGGGGGGUGUCAGAUGUUAGUUUGGGGGGUAUUGGGGUGCAGAGAUGGCGCAGGACAAGGGGCGACCCUGGGAGCCCCCCGAUAUUUGGUCGGACAUGGAGGACAAGCUGUGGAUCCUACAGGACAUGAAUAUGAUGUACAUCAGACAGAUCGCCCUCAGCCUACAGGACACGGACAUCCAGAAGCGGAUUGACCACGAGGUGCGGAUCCGGGACGGGGCGAUGAAGCUGCUGGGGGCCUGCACACAGAAGGAACAGGCGCUGGAAGCCGCCAAGAGUCUCCUGGUGUGUAAUAGUCGUAUAAUGACCUACAUGUCCGAGCUGCAGCACCGCAAGGAGGAGCAAGUCCUGCAGCACAGCGCGCGCAGGCCCUCAGACGGAGGAUCGGUGGAUGACCGGCUCCCCUGUAAGGGGAAACUCUCCAUCUCAGAUCUCCGGAUUCCCCUCAUGUGGAAGGACAGCGAAUACUUCAAGAAUAAAGGAGAGCUCCAUCGCUGUGCCGUGUUCUGUGCUCUGCAGAUCCGAGGGGAGGUCUGUGACACGGAAAUGGUCUUUGUGGAUCGGACAGCCACAGAUAUCUGCUUCGAGAACCCCAUUGUCUUCUCGGACGUGGAGCCAGGUUUUGAACUCAGUCUCCAGCUGUACAGCUGUGCCGUGGAUGAGGACUUUUCUCUGUCUGGGACCCCCAGAAGACUGUCCACCAAACUGAGCAACUCCCUGGGCCGUUCAUCGGGACGGAGGGUACGAGCUUCCAUGGAAGGAGCAUGCAGCAAUGGAGGAGGAAGCCCCGUCCUUCUACCUGUCCCCAGUGUCCCGGGUCCAAAGUUCCUGCUGCUGGCCCACACCAAACUAACCCUGGCUGAUGUCCAGGACGGCUUCCGCACUCACGACCUCACUAUGAACAGUUCAGAUGAGAGCUCCUGUUGGCUGCCGCUGUACGGAAGUGUGUGCUGCCGCCUUACAGCACAGCCUGACUGUAUGAACCAAGAUAUGAUAUCCGGGUAUCUGCAGAUCCAGGCGCGGGGGCAGGCGGGAUGGCAGCGGAUGUACUGCGUGCUGCGAGGAUGCCGCUUGCUGUGCUAUACGCAGCCCUGUGAGAAAGGGUCGGCCUCCCCGGAACCGGAACUCACCGUCUUCGUCAAUAAGGAGACCAGAAUCCGCUGCUCAGACCGCGAAGGACAGAACCAGGCGCAAAGCCUGUCCAUCACCAACCGGUACGGCAGCGAGGAGGUGACGCACCACGCCAGGGCGGAGGGCCGGGAGGAGCUGCGCCGAUGGAUGGAGGCCUUCUGGCAGCACUUCUAUGACAUGAGUCAGUGGAAGCAGUGCUGUGAUGACCUCAUGAAGAUCGAGACAACCCCGCCCAAGAGGACCACCCUCGCUAUGGCCAAGCAGGGCUCCCUCUACCAUGAAAUGGCUAUUGAGGGUCUGGGCCGAUUCCCGACCUCCUCUCCCAGCGGAUGAAGGAGUUUGAGAUACAGAGGGGUCUGGAUCCGCCUCCCUGGACGUCUUUCUUCAACAGCCCCAACCCUGAACGUCCUUCCCGCUCCUCGUCCUCCGAUUGUGACAGUCCUCCAGGUCAGACUUCCAGGCUUCGUCCCCGCACCCUCCCUGGAUGCCAAACUGACGUCCCUUAAGAACCGGGGGCUGAGGAUGGCCGACCAACAGUCUACGGGCCAAGAGUCCUCCGGAGGAGAUGACAGUCCUCACCCGGAGGCCAGGAACUCGAGCAGCAGCGGGCGCAGCACCCGGACUCAGAGAAGGGGGGACAAAACCGCAAGAACAUUAGGAGCCUUAGAACCAAACUGGACCCCCGAAACUGGCUGCAGAGUCAGGUGUGACCCCGUCUGAUCACAUGACCAGAGUGUCGGAUGGGGGUGAGAGACCAGAACCAAGAGUCCAAAGGGCACCCAUGUGUCAGGCCUUGGCUCUGGUUGGUAUGUACUGUGGACGCCCCAUUCCCAAACAUGGAGUGACGCCCUACUUAUUAUUCACAUACAAAAAUAACAUACCGCAUCCUCCAAGUAACACUGACACACCCAGCGCGCUCCACCCACCUCAGGGUAACCUACAGUUUGUUCAAAGACUGAACAGCAAGAUGUGGACGAGUCUUCCUUCACAUGGGAGAGCGGAACCCGAGAUAUUAUAUACAUUUAUACCGAGUCCCUCCCAAUCCACUGAAGGGCGAUGAAAAACAAGCUAUAUUAUUAUUAUUAUUAUUAUUAUUAUUGUGCCACCCACUGCUGGGCACCAAUGACACCCAGACUUGAAGCCCCUCCCUCAGAAAGGUGUCAUGGCUGCACAGAGUUUACAUGACCUUUCAGCACCGCCUACUGCAGGGAAUUUGCCCCUCCUACUGCAGGGUGACUGAUGGGAGCUGUGAGACCAGGAAUAUGCCCCUCCUACUGCAGGGUGACUGAUGGGAGCUGUGAGACCGGGAAUAUGCCCCUCCUACUGCAGGGUGACUGAUGGGAGCUGUGAGACUGGGAAUAUGCCCCUCUACUGCAGGGUGACUGAUGGGAGCUGUGAGACCGGGAAUAUGCCCCUCCUACUGCAGGAUGACUGAUGGGAGCUGUGAGACCGGGAAUAUGCCCCUCCUACUGCAGGGUGACUGAUGGGAGCUGUGAGACCCGGAAUAUGCCCCUCCUACUGCAGGGUGACUGAUGGGAGCUGUGAGACCGGGAAUAUGCCCCUCCUACUGCAGGGUGACUAUAGGAUAUGGGGUCUGCAGGGUGAUAAUAGGAUAAGGGGUCUACUCCUCUGCCUGCAAGGUGACUAUAUAAUAUGGGGUCUGCUCCUCCUCCUGCAGGGUGACUAUAGGAUAUGCAGUCUGUCCCUCCCUCUACAGGGUGAUUGGGGUAUGCCCCUCCCCCUGCAGGGUGACUAUAGGGUAUGAGGUUUACCCCUCCCACUGCAGGGUGACUAUAGGGUAUGAGGUCUGUCCCUCCCUCUGCAGGGUGAUAAUAGGAUAAGGGGUCUACUCCUCUGCCUGCAAGGUGACUAUAUAAUAUGGGGUCUGCUCCUCCUCCUGCAGGGUGACUAUAGGAUAUGCAGUCUGUCCCUCCCUCUACAGGGUGACUGGGGUAUUCCCCUCUCCCUGCGGGGUGACUAUAGGGUAUGAGGUCUGUCCCUCCCUCUGCAGGGUGACUAUAGGGUAUGAGGUAUGUCCCUCCCUUCUGCAGGGUGACUAUAGGGUAUGAGGUCUGUCCCUCCCUCUGCAGGGUGACUAUAGGGUAUGAGGUCUGCCCCUCCCCCUGCAGGGUGACUAUAGGGUAUGAGGUCUGCCCCUCCCACUGCAGGGCGAGUAUAGGGUAUGAGAUCUGUCCCUUCCCCUGCAGGGUGACUAUAGAAUAUUGGAUCUGCCCUCCCCCUGAAGGGUGAUACGGACCAUUGGAUAUGGGGGACUGUUCUUCCGCUGCAGGGUGACUAUAGGGUAUGAGGUCUGCCCCUCCCUCUGCAGGUGACGGAUGUUGGGGGCGCACACACAGCCUUGGGGGGGGGACACAAUCUAUUGGCUCCCGGCAGUGAGAGAAUUAAAGCUUUAUGAUUAUAAACGGCCUUACCAAAUAAUUACUAACAGAGUAUUAUAUUAUAAUAAAUCUUUAUUGCCAA